rnacentral:rRNA from 1 species
GAUGAACGCUGGCGGCGUGCCUAAUACAUGCAAGUCGAGCGAACAGAUAAGGAGCUUGCUCCUUUGACGUUAGCGGCGGACGGGUGAGUUACACGUGGAUAACCUACCUAUAAGACUGGGAUAACUUCGGGAAACCGGAGCUAAUACCGGAUAACAUAUUGAACCGCAUGUUUCAAUAGUGAAAGGCGGCUUUGCUGUCACUUAUAGAUGGAUCCGCGCCGUAUUAGCUAGUUGGUAAGGUAACGGCUUACCAAGGCAACGAUACGUAGCCGACCUGAGAGGGUGAUCGGCCACACUGGAACUGAGACACGGUCCAGACUCCUACGGGAGGCAGCAGUAGGGAAUCUUCCGCAAUGGGCGAAAGCCUGACGGAGCAACGCCGCGUGAGUGAUGAAGGUCUUCGGAUCGUAAAACUCUGUUAUCAGGGAAGAACAAAUGUGUAAGUAACUGUGCACAUCUUGACGGUACCUGAUCAGAAAGCCACGGCUAACUACGUG